GGAUGCCUUGGCAGUUAGAGGCGAUGAAGGACGUGUAAGUCUGCGAAAAGCUGUGGUGAGCCGACAAAAUGCAUUUGAACCACAGAUGUCCGAAUGGGGAAACCCACCUAUUUAUAGGUAUCGUUACAUGAAUAUAUAGUGUAACGAGGCGAACGAGGGGAACUGAAACAUCUAAGUACCCUUAGGAAAAGAAAUCAACCGAGAUUCCCCUAGUAGCGGCGAGCGAACGGGGAUUAGCCCUUAAGCAAUUAUGAACGUAGUGGAAGCCUCUGGGAAGUGGCGCGAUACAAGGUGAUAGCCCUGUACACGAAGUGUUUGUUUUUGUGAAAUCGAGUAGGUCGGGACACGUGUUAUCUUGACUGAAUAUGGGGGGACCAUCCUCCAAGGCUAAAUACUCCUAACUGACCGAUAGUGAACCAGUACCGUGAGGGAAAGGCGAAAAGAACCCCUGUGAGGGGAGUGAAAUAGAUCCUGAAACCGUAUGCGUACAAGCAGUCGGAGCGGACUUGUUCCGUGACGGCGUACCUUUUGUAUAAUGGGUCAGCGACUUAUGUUCAGUGGCGAGGUUAACCGUUUAGGGGAGCCGUAGGGAAACCGAGUCUGAAUAGGGCGAUUUAGUCGCUGGGCAUAGACCCGAAACCGGGCGAUCUAUCCAUGAGCAGGUUGAAGGUUGAGUAACAUCAACUGGAGGACCGAACCCACUAACGUUGAAAAGUUAGGGGAUGACUUGUGGCUGGGGGUGAAAGGCCAAUCAAACCGGGAGAUAGCUGGUUCUCCCCGAAAUCUAUUUAGGUAGAGCCUCGGACGAAUUCCAUUGGGGGUAGAGCACUGUUAAGGCUAGGGGGUCAUCCCGACUUACCAACCCUUUGCAAACUCCGAAUACCAAUGAGAACUAUCCGGGAGACACACGGCGGGUGCUAACGUCCGUCGUGAAGAGGGAAACAACCCAGACCGCCAGCUAAGGUCCCAAAAUAUUGCUAAGUGGGAAACGAUGUGGGAAGGCUCAGACAGCUAGGAGGUUGGCUUAGAAGCAGCCACCCUUUAAAGAAAGCGUAAUAGCUCACUAGUCGAGUCGGCCUGCGCGGAAGAUGUAACGGGGCUAAGCAAUAUACCGAAGCUGCGGAUACGUGUUUACACGUAUGGUAGGGGAGCGUUGUGUAAGUGGAUGAAGGUGGAUUGAGAAGUCUGCUGGACAUAUCACAAGUGCGAAUGCUGACAUGAGUAACGAUAAUGGGAGUGAAAAACUCCCACGCCGGAAGACCAAGGUUUCCUGUCCCAUGCUAAUCAGGGCAGGGUAAGUCGGCCCCUAAGGCGAGGCAGAAAUGCGUAGUCGAUGGGAAACGGAUUAAUAUUUCCGUACUUAUAUAAUCAGUGAUGGAGGGACGGAGAAGGCUAAGCAAGCUUGGCGUUGGUUGUCCAAGUGAAAGCAAGUAGGCCGAGAAUUUAGGUAAAUCCGGAUUCUUAAAGCUGAGAUGCGAGACGAGCCACUACGGUGGUGAAGUUGUUGAUGCCCUGCUUCCAGGAAAAGCUUCUAAACUUAUGAUUAUAUGAACCGUACCCCAAACCGACACAGGUGGUCAGGUAGAGAAUACUAAGGCGCUUGAGAGAACUCGGGUGAAGGAACUCGGCAAAAUUGUACCGUAACUUCGGGAGAAGGUACGCCCUUGUUUGUGAUAGGACUUGCUCCUUGAGCAGAUGAGGGCCGCAGUGACCAGGUGGCUGGGACUGUUUAUUAAAAACACAGCACUCUGCUAACUCGCAAGAGGACGUAUAGGGUGUGACACCUGCCCGGUGCCGGAAGGUUAAUUGAUGGGGUUAUCUUCGGAGAAGCUCUUGAUCGAAGCCCCGGUAAACGGCGGCCGUAACAAUAACGGUCCUAAGGUAGCGAAA
rnacentral:rRNA from 1 species